GUGUCAGCAGCCGCGGUAAUACGAAGGGUGCAAGCGUUACUCGGAAUUACUGGGCGUAAAGCGUGCGUAGGUGGUUUGUUAAGUCUGUUGUGAAAGCCCCGGGCUCAACCUGGGAAUGGCAAUGGAUACUGGCAAGCUAGAGUGCGGUAGAGGGUAGUGGAAUUCCCGGUGUAGCGGUGAAAUGCGUAGAGAUCGGGAGGAACACCAGUGGCGAAGGCGGCUACCUGGACCAGCACUGACACUGAGGCACGAAAGCGUGGGGAGCAAACAGGAUUAGAAACCCCCGUAGUCC
rnacentral:rRNA from 1 species